AGAGCGAACGCUGGCGGAAUGCUUAACACAUGCAAGUCGCACGGGCAGCAAUGUCAGUGGCGGACGGGUGAGUAUCGCGUAGGAAUAUGUCCGGAGGUGGGGGACAACCCUGGGAAACUGGGGCUAAUACCGCAUAUGAGCUGAGGCUCAAAGCAGUGAUGCGCCUUUGGAGUAGCCUGCGUCCAAUUAGCUUGUUGGUGGGUAAAGGCCUACCAAGGCGACGAUCGGUAGCUGGUCUGAGAGGACGACCAGCCACACUGGGACUGAGACACGGCCCAGACUCCUACGGAGCAGCAGUGGGGAAUAUUGGACAAUGGGCGCAAGCCUGAUCCAGCAAUUCCGCGUGGGUGAAGAAGGUCUUCGGAUUGUAAAGCCCUUUCGACGGGACGAUGAUGACGUACCCGUAGAAGAAGCCCGCUAACUUCGUGCCAGCAGCCGC
rnacentral:rRNA from 1 species